GUACAGAGGGGGCAAGCGUUGUUCGGAAUUACUGGGGCGUAAAGGGCGCGUAGGCGGCCCACUAAGUCGAACGUGAAAUCCCCGGGCUCAACCCGGGAACUGCGUCCGAGACUGGAGGGCUCGAAUCCGGGAGAGGGAUGUGGAAUUCCCGGUGUAGUGGUGAAAUGCGUAGAUAUCGGGAGGAACACCAGUGGCGAAGGCGACUUCCUGGCCUGUUCUUGACGCUGAGGCGCGAAAGCUAGGGGAGCAAACGGG
rnacentral:rRNA from 1 species